ACGAAACUGGUAUAGGGCGUGUACGUGUACGAUCGACGGGUAUACAUUAUACCGGCAAAGCGCAUUCAGCCGGCAUUUAUAUUCACGAGUUUAGAGGAGAAACAACGAGCACUAGCUCUCUCAACCAGAUUUUGCUACUACCAAGUUUUAUCACUCGUUAACAAGCUACGGGACAGCAUUUUUAGCAGGGUUAGAAAGUACACUGCAAAACUUAGAUUCCAACGUUUAGAAUCUACCCAACAAUUUAAAAAGUUGUUCAGCUUCAUGAAAUACAGCAACUAUUUCUCGGUGAUGAUGGAAGUUUUGCCCGCAGAAACAGAUGUUCCCAACAGUGCCAGUAUUCCUUUCUCAUCGUGGAUGAUGGAGGACCAAGCUAAAGUUUUGAAAAAUGAUAUAAAAUUGAAGAAGCGUUCCAGGGGAAAACGCAAACCAAAGAGGAAGGAGAAUCGUCGGAGAGCAAGACCAGGAAAGUCACGAAGCGGUUUUCUGACAAUUGGUGCACCUUUCAACAAUAAUGAAUUUUUAAUUAACCAGAGAGAUGCCACAGUGAUCCAAAGAAAUCGGCAACCACUAGUCUGGGCCCAGAAGAAGGUCUCAUGGCCAAGAAUUGUGGACAAUGCUCUUCUCCACAUAGCACAAGUAGUAGUGGGGGUUCUGAAAGUACGUCCGACUAUGAAAGCCUUCAUUCACCUUCUGCAUCUAGCAGCAGCGGAUGUAGCGUUGAAGCCGAAUAUCCCCAAGAUGACAAGAUAAAUGAUGAAAUGUUUGACAUUGAUUUUGCCCUGCAGAACUUCGAAGCUGAUUACUCCGCUCAUCAAUGGGAGCUGAAAACACAGUUGAUGACAUUACCAAGACAGCAGCUGGAAAGCAGAUGUUCGCUUCUGAUGGACCAAGUGAAAGAUUUAGAAGAGAGGAUCGAAAAGAGGGUCGUAGGGCAUGUCCAGGAAUUGGAACUUGAAUUAGAAGCUCUGAGGAAGGAGAACAGAAGAUUGAAAAGGGUAUCUGCAGACCGUUCAACACCAGAAUGAAACAUCACAAGAGUGAUUUCAACAAGGAGGAAACAUUCCAGUCAAGAUUGGGAUUGAUGUUCGUCCUACGAUGCUCCUUUGGUUCAUCUUUGAGUGGAUGCAUGACGAUCAUUGGAAGUUCACCCUGAAGUUUUCGACUGCACGCACCAACAUGACAUUAUUAAAGGAAUUUCAGAGGUAAGGAGAUUACCAUCAAGGACACCAAAUAGCAGACGGGAUCGAUACUGCAUCAACAGCUCCCCGACAAUUUGCUCUCACCAAGAUGGCCUGCAGAGAGUGAGUGACAUCACACCACUGAAGUUGGCAACACUUUGGAAUGGUAUCAUGGUAUAAUUGCAUGUUCUUUUUAUGCCAUCUUCCCCAUUUCCUUACACUCUAAAAAACAAAGAGUUAAUUUAGCUCUUAGAGAGCAUGUAUAGUGACUGCUGAUUUGUCUAGUUCAAA